rnacentral:rRNA from 1 species
UACAGAGGGUGCAAGCGUUGUUCGGAAUUACUGGGCGUAAAGCGCGCGUAGGCGGCUUUGUAAGUUAGAGGUGAAAGCCCGGGGCUCAACCCCGGAAUUGCCUUUAAGACUGCAUCGCUUGAAUCCGGGAGAGGUGAGUGGAAUUCCGAGUGUAGAGGUGAAAUUCGUAGAUAUUCGGAAGAACACCAGUGGCGAAGGCGGCUCACUGGACCGGUACUGACGCUGAGGUGACGAAAGCGUGGGGAGCAAACAGG